rnacentral:lncRNA from 1 species
AGUGUUUGGACCCUUGAAAAGUACCUGUUCUUACUCCUGCAACCAAAUAGUAGCAUGUACAUGUGGAACUAGGUUAUAUGUACCUAUAUUACUACUUUGUUUGGUUGUUUUCUCCCAAAAUGAGUCUUAUGUUGACGGUUAUGAUAGUAGAAAACAUGGUAUAAAUACCGUCAACAAGACCCCCCACACUUGAGUCUUUGCUCGUCCUCGAGUAAAGGUUAAAAAUGAGUGAUCAAUGAUUUCUAACUUAAGAUAGUAGUGAGCAUAAAAUGCUAGUUCGAACAUAGUUCAUCCAAAUGGGUUUUUGUGUAAGUGUCUAGCAUAUAUCCUUCAGAGGUUGAGAAAAGGAACAAUUCUCAGAACAAGAUCAAAUUCCAAUUUCAUAUUCUUGGUACUUAGAGUUUUUAUGACACUUUUUAAAAUAAGUCACAUAGUUCAAUCCUACUCCUCAUUUAGCGCUCUAGAUCACUCAAAGUUUUUUAGUAGUCCUCACCAAGGCAUGAAUGCCAACUUGUUUCAUCCUAUAAUUAUAGGCUUAUAUGGGGCUUGGUAGGGAUAAACAAGGUAGCAUACUCUACUUUGCAAAUAUUGUUAAGUCAAAAACAAGGAUCCAAAGAGAGGAGUGUCAUAGUCAUAGAUCAAGAUGUGCAAGUGUGUUAUAUGGUGGACUAGGUUGCUCCUUUAUUUACUACACUCUCUCUACUUGUAUAUUGAGACAUGGCUAGAUUUUCUUUUUCUUCGAGCUUUAUGUGCUCAAUUUUUUUUUCAUGGACUUGCACAUGUCCAUCUUUUCUUUUUCUUUUAUUUUGCCAAGCCCUUUUAUGUCUCAUUUUCUAAACAAUAUUUAGAGAGGUGUUCUAACACUUAGAGUAUGGAGCAACCUAUUUAGUGGAUGCACAAUACAUGUGGUUGCGUACUUCCAGUGUAGAAGCAGCAUAUAUAUAUGUGGUGUGUACGUGAUCUUGAUCUUGUGACUAUGAUACAACUCUCACUAGGGUCAACAAGGUUUUGACAAAACUCAUUACAAAAGCAGGUUGCAUUUCAUAAAAUGGUUACUUGAAUAUCUAAGUGUAUGGCUUUUAGUGGGAAUUUCUUGCUAAUGAGGAGUAAAUGAUACUAUGGUUUUGUG